UGAAUACGAGAUGCUACGGCAUCGAAGCAGUCUAUGUCAUACUUCCAAGAAAAGCUUGCACUGUCAUAAACAAAUAAUGCCUGUACCAUAACCGACACAGGUGGGUAGGUAGAGUAUACUAGGGGCGCGAGAUAACUCUCUCUAAGGAACUCGGCAAAAUGACUCCGUAACUUCGGGAGAAGGAGUGCCUUAUUUUAUAAGGUUGCAAUAACAAGAUCCAAGCAACUGUUUACCAAAAACACAGGUCUCCGCUAAGUCGUAAGACGAUGUAUGGGGGCUGACGCCUGCCCAGUGCCAGAAGGUUAAAGAAGUUGGUUAGCAUUAGCGAAGCUGAUAACUGAAGCCCUGGUGAACGGCGGCCGUAACAAUAACGGUCCUAAGGUAGCGAAAUUCCUUGUCGGGUAAGUUCCGACCCGCACGAAAGGCGUAAUGAUUUGGAUACUGUCUCGGAGAGGGGCUCGGUGAAAUAGACUUGUCUGUGAAGAUGCGGACUACCUGCACCAGGACAGAAAGACCCUAUGAAGCUUUACUGUAACUUGAGAUUGAAAUUGGACUUUAUUUGCGCAGUAUAGGUGGGAGACGUUGAAAAUAUUCUUGCGGGAAUAUUGGAGUCAUCAGUGAGAUACCACUCUUAUAAUGUUAGAUUUCUAACUUUGUAUCAUUAUCUGGUCAAAGAACAGUCUCAGGCGGGCAGUUUGACUGGGGCGGUCGCCUCCCAAACGGUAACGGAGGCGCACAAAGGUUUCCUCUGAACGUGUAGAAAUCGUAUCUAGAGUGUAAAGGCAUAAGGAAGCUUGACUGUGAGACCUACAAGUCGAGCAGGGACGAAAGUCGGUCUUAGUGAUCUGACGGUGCUGAGUGGAAAGGCCGUCACUCAACGGAUAAAAGUUACUCUAAGGAUAACAGGCUGAUCUCCCCCAAGAGUUCACAUCGACGGGGAGGUUUGGCACCUCGAUGUCGGCUCAUCGCAUCCUGGGGCGGUAGUACGUCCCAAGGGUUGGGCUGUUCGCCCAUGAAAGCGGUACGCGAGCUGGGUUCAGAACGUCGUGAGACAGUUCGGUCCAUAUCCGGUGUAGGCGUUAGAAUAUUGAGAGGAGCCUUCUUUAGUACGAGAGGACCGGGAAGGACAUACCUCUGGUGUACCAGUUAUCGUGCCAACGGUAAACGCUGGGUAGCUAUGUAUGGAGAGGAUAACCGCUGAAAGCAUCUAAGUGGGAAGCCCACCUCAAGAUAAGUA
rnacentral:rRNA from 1 species